GAUGAACGCUGGCGGCGUGCCUAAUACAUGCAAGUCGAGCGAACGGACGAGAAGCUUGCUCCUCUGAUGUUAGCGGCGGACGGGUGAGUAACACGUGGAUAACCUACCUAUAAGACUGUGAUAACUUCUGGAAACCGUAGCUAAUACCGGAUAAUAUUUUGAACCGCAUGGUUCAAAAGUGAAAGACGGUCUUGCUGUCACUUAUAGAUGGAUCCGCGCUGCAUUAGCUAGUUGGUAAGGUAACGGCUUACCAAGGCAACGAUGCAUAGCCGACCUGAGAGGGUGAUCGGCCAAACUGGAACAGAGACACGGUCCAGACUCCUACGGGAGGCAGCAGUAGGGAAGCUACAGCAAUGGGAGAAAGCCUGACGGAGCAACGCCGCGUGAGUGAUGAAGGUAUUCGGAUCGUAAAACUCUGUUAUUAGGGAAGAACAUGUGUGUAAGUAACUGUGAACAUCUUGACGGUACCUAAUCAGAAAGCCACGGCUAACUACGUG
rnacentral:rRNA from 1 species